rnacentral:lncRNA from 1 species
CUCCAUCUGCCGGGGUGAAGUGCGCGAGCCCAGGACUGAGACAGCUAGCUCCUUCAGGGGAUGGGGGCACAUCUGGGGAUAGGAAGGGGUGGGGACAAGAAAUACUGAUCGAAGUCAUGGUCUAUUUACAGGGGACAAGAAGCCAAAACGGAUGGGAUGGGUGGUCUGUUUUUAAAAAAUGAACAAAAACCCCGUUAGGGCAGGGGCAUGAAGUGGCAAAAUGAGAUGGAUUUUGAAAGGGGAGGAGACCUGGGGGAGGGGGUCUCACCUCCCUUGGUCCAAGCCCCAAUUUGGGGUUAAAGUGGGGAAACAGAGUCGAUUUCACUUAGAAGGCAGGCUGCCAGCAGGGCAGCCCUGGUCUCCAAAAAGAUGAGUAGUAGUAAAAUUUUGCCCUCCAGUCAAAACAUUGGAAAAACAGUAGGGGGUGGGGGUGAGGCUGACUCCCUGCAAUGUCAGUAGGCUUCCAGGCAUCGCCCUGGGCUGGGCAGACAGGGCAGCACAGGAUAGGACCUGACUCUCCAGGGAGAAAUGUUCCCCUUGCCUAAGACCAGGGUCUCUGUAGCCAGACCCCCUUUCCUCCCUGGCAUUCCCAGCCUUGACCAGGAAACCUGGACCCCAGAGAGGCCACAUAACAGUUCCAAGAGGAGGUUAUGGCUAUUUGGCACCUGGAAGAGGGGAGGCACAAGGAGAAAUUAAGGGCUGCUGCCCCAGGCAAUGGGGAGCUGGGGACCAGGUGUCCUGAACUCUCCCUUUUUCCCACUCUCACUCCCCUUUUCCCGAAGGACACAUGAGAAAUCAGUGCAGGGCCAGGGCCAGGCCCAGCCUCCCGGCUCUGGGGUGGACUCUAUCCCUCCCAGGACAGGGAACAGGGAUGGGGGAGGUGUUGAGGCAACGCCCCCACCCCCCAGGCAGGAGGGUCAGAAUGCAACAGAGACGGCACAAUGAUGGGGGGAGAGGGAAGGGCCGAGAAGGUAGAAUCUCAAGUCAAGAGGCCCAGGGGCCACCCAGGUGCCCCAUGGGCAGGGAGCAGCCCCCAGUUGGCAGAUGCUGGGAGAGCCCCAGCCCCGUUCCAGUCCAGAGACAAAAGCUGGAGUGUGUAAAGUCUGGCAGUUUGAUCUGCAGGUGCUUGUGUCCAUCGACCACCAGGCCAGCCCUCGGCAGCCCUCGGCCUCUGUGCCUCAGCCCCAUGGGGCAAGAAAGAGGCUGCCCUUCUAGCCACCUCUGUCUGCCCAGGCCAUCUUAAGGGGGCCUGUGAUAUGAGCCCUCUGGUCCCUGAAGCUGGGGGAGGUGGGGUGGAGGGGUGGGGGGAGUCGGGGCACCUGUCCCCAGGCUGGUAGGGGGAGGGGUGGGGUGUUGAGGACAGGGGAGGGAGGACAAUGGGAGGGGGGUUAAUUAUUGUCCAGUUAUGGAAUGAUUCCUGUUAAGUAGAAUUGGAAUUCCUCAGUGUUUGCAAGUUUCCUUCCAGUUCUGAGAUCUGGAAAACAAAGGAGGGUAGGGGGUCAGGUCUGGACACCAGGCAUGAUCCCAGCCCCUUCCGCCCCCCGAUGAGGACAUGGCAUCCCCUCCCUCCAGGACCCACAGGGUAGGGGCUUCAGUGCUGCUCCCUCCACUGGGCCCUGCCCACAGGGCGCCCCGGGCCCACCUUGUCCAGGAGCUUGUCCAUCUCCUCCUUUCUGGCCAGCUCCGACUCCUCCAGAACCCGACGCUGUGCAGUCUCCUUUUUCAGGAACUCGAUCUCCCUGGGCACAGGCAAGGGACAGAUGGCAGAGCCCCAUGCCAGCGUGUGAUGAUGACACAGUCACUGGUUUGCAGAUGCACAAGAACAACGAUCAACUCUGGCUUUGCCCGUCAUGGUGAUGAGAACAAUACUGGACAUCUAGAAGGUACCCAGAGGAUGUCUCUCCACAGGGAACAGCUCCAACCUCUCCACACGCUUCUCCAGCUCGUACUCAGCAGAGGCUGCCAUGGGAUCCACAUCCUCGUUGCGACGAUCGUAAUCCUCGUUGGAGUAAGUGCUGA